UACGUAGGGUGCGAGCGUUUAAUCGGAAUUACUGGGCGUAAAGCGUGCGCAGGCGGUUUUGUAAGCCAGAUGUGAAAUCCCCGGGCUUAACCUGGGAAUGGCAUUUGGGACUGCAAGGCUCGAGUGCGGCAGAGGAGACUGGAAUUCCUGGUGUAGCAGUGAAAUGCGUAGAUAUCAGGAGGAACACCGAUGGCGAAGGCAGGUCUCUGGGCUGAACACUGACGCUCAUGCACGAAAGCGUGGGGAGCAAAC
rnacentral:rRNA from 1 species